AAAGUCGUAACAAGGUUUCCGUAGGUGAACCUGCGGAAGGAUCAUUAGUGAUUGCCGAAAGGCUAACUAGAUUCAUAAACACCUGUGAACUGUUAGAUUGACUCGAAAGAGUCAAUUUUAUUACAAACACUGUGUAAUGAACGUCUUAGUAUUAUAACUAAAAAAACUUUCAACAACGGAUCUCUUGGCUCUC
rnacentral:misc_RNA from 1 species